UCUUGGUCAUUUAGAGGAAGUAAAAGUCGUAACAAGGUCUCCGUAGGUGAACCUGCGGAGGGAUCAUUACACAAUAAACAUAUGAAGGCUGCACCGCCAACAGGCGGCAAGGCUGGAGUAUUUUAUUACCCUUGUCUUUUGCGCACUUGUUGUUUCCUGGGCGGGUUCGCCCGCCUCCAGGACCACAUGAUAAACCUUUUUUAUGCAGUUGCAAUCAGCGUCAGUACAACAAAUGUAAAUCAUUUACAACUUUCAACAACGGAUCUCUUGGUUCUGGCAUCGAUGAAGAACGCAGCGAAAUGCGAUACGUAGUGUGAAUUGCAGAAUUCAGUGAAUCAUCGAAUCUUUGAACGCACAUUGCGCCCUUUGGUAUUCCAAAGGGCAUGCCUGUUCGAGCGUCAUUUGUACCCUCAAGCUUUGCUUGGUGUUGGGCGUUUUUUGUCUUUGGUUUUGUCCAAAGACUCGCCUUAAAACGAUUGGCAGCCGGCCUACUGGUUUCGCAGCGCAGCACAUUUUUGCGCUUGCAAUCAGCAAAAGAGGACGGCACUCCAUCAAGACUCUAUAUCACUUUUGACCUCGGAUCAGGUAGGGAUACCCGCUGAACUUAAGCAUAUCAAUAAGCGGAGGAA
rnacentral:rRNA from 1 species